GGAUUUGGGAUGAGCCAAGAGGUUUUUCCUGGAGCUGUGAAGUUUUUCCUAUCAGAAAUCCAUGAUGGGGAUGUUUUCCCUGGCCAAAUGGAAGGAACAGCUUUGGAGUUGUUGCAGACACAGGCUGGGGAUGCAUCCCCUGAAAACCAGUUCAGGAUUGUUCAUCUGACUCUGCCCCUGACCUGUGGCUUUCAGGGACGCUCCUGGUAUCCUGGAUAUUCCCAGGAGAGGAUAUUCCACCACCAGCCUUUCGAGCCAGGAAUUCCAGACCCACAAAGAACAUCCCAAACUGCCUCCUCACCCUCAUGGACAGCAGGAGUGUCCUCCAUAGCUCCUGUUUAGGAAUGGCAGUGGCUGUUGGGAGCUCUGGCAGGAGCAGCUGGAGACCAGCAGGGAAACAUUUAAACAAGAGGUGCCCAAAAGAAUUGGAGCUUCUGCA